GGACUCCUAACAGCAGGAGCAGGGGCUAUCUCUGUCCCUGUUGCCUGCCUGCCUUUGGCACUGUUUCCCC
rnacentral:miRNA from 14 species